GAGAUGAGUCAUCCCUGACCCCUUGAGGGUCCUAAAGGGCCGUUGGAGACCACAACGUUGAUAGGUGGGGUGUGUAAGCGCGGCGACGUGUUGAGCUAACCCAUACUAAUUACCCGUGAGGCUUAACCAUACAACACCCAAGAAGUGUUC
rnacentral:rRNA from 1 species